CUUAAGGUCAGUGUGCUGCUAUUGGCUGUGGAAUGUACAUGCUCACCAAUAACAAGAGCAGAUAGCCCCUGAUCAUACAGGACAGAGAAAAGCGGAUCGCUUCGCAAACAUCCCGCACAUGGCCCACAGUUCAGAUGUGUUUCUGAACAGGAAUGCUGAAUGUUGACAUUGUCUGUGGCUGGCCCUUCUACGUAAGAGACGCUCCCUUGCCUGUUUGCAAGUCACAGAUCACCCCACGGUGGAUCCACGUCUCAUGGUCCGUCUCAAGAUCCAGUUACAUGUUCUUACUGUGUGUACAUUCUGUCCUUGUGGAAACAGACGCGUUUGGUUACUUGUUAAAAGGAAGUGAAUCUCUGCAUCAGCUGUCAGUGAGGGAUCUCCGUUUCACCUGGAAUAGGAGGUGACCAGACCGCCUGGCAGGUUCAUAAUCCUCCCUUGGGCUGGUGAGAAGGACCACCUUCAGAUGACCCUGGGGGGAUGGGGGGCCUCGGGGGUUCUGUGGAAGGAACUCCAGGUGGGGAGGGAGACUCCUCGCAGCAGGGCUUUUUUUCAGUGGGUCCGAUGAGGUGGCUCUGCCCCAGCUAAGCAGGGAGCGAUCAACAGGCCGCCGCAUUCCACACCGCUCGCCGGCCAACGUCAACAGCCGCGGGCAGCGAGAGCUCGGCGCGCUCGUGGCACAGUGCCGCACUGUCUGCGUAACCCGAACACGGAACCACGCUGCGUCUCAGUCCUCCACAAAACACCACAUGUGCCGCCGGAUUGACAAGAAACAACACUAUAACCUCAAUCCUGCGUUUUCCGCAAGACGUUUCUUUGGCUCCGGCUACUGCUGAUGCACGGUCAUGUACGGUGAAAAAUUAAUAAAUGGCCGUUGACCAAAAUCCCAUUUGGCCUAAGACAUUUCCA